CCGGCACGGGUGAGUAACACGUAUCCAACCUGCCGUCUACUCUUGGACAGCCUUCUGAAAGGAAGAUUAAUACAAGAUGGCAUCAUGAGUCCGCAUGUUCACAUGAUUAAAGGUACUCCGGUAGACGAUGGGGAUGCGUUCCAUUAGAUAGUAGGCGGGGUAACGGCCCACCUAGUCUUCGAUGGAUAGGGGUUCUGAGAGGAAGGUCCCCCACAUUGGAACUGAGACACGGUCCAA
rnacentral:rRNA from 1 species